AACGCACCUUGCGCUCCUUGGUAUUCCGAGGAGCAUGUCUGUUUGAGUGUCAUGAUAUUCUCAAAACUCACUACGUUUUGCGCUGUGAGAUUUUGGAUUUUGGAGUGUGCUGGAGAAAUUUGAAUAUUUUUCAAGCUACUCUUGAAUGCAUUAGCAAUCUUCAUUCGGGAAGGAAAAAGGCUUCAUCUGGCUUGAUAAUGUUUUCUUAUGCCAUUUUUGAAGUUGAAUAAAGUACUUUCUUAAUUGAUUGCUUAUAGACGAUUUUUUCUUAUUGACCUCAAAUCAGACAAGACUACCCGCUGAACUUAA
rnacentral:misc_RNA from 1 species